rnacentral:rRNA from 1 species
AUGGGAAUUGGAACAUGCAAAUGUGUUCUUGCUUUCAUAGAGUUGGAUCCUCCUCACUCUGGAAAUGUCAUUGCGGAUGCUCUCUAUGCGUGUAUGAUAGAAUGGAAUAUUGAGACCAAAAUUAUGUCCGUCACACUUGACAACGCUUCAAACAAUGAUGGUGCGGUCGAUGCUUUGAAGGCCAAGUUCUCGUUUCGAAGAGGUAAUGACUUUGAAGGACAAUAUUUUCAUAUCUGUUGUUGUGCACACAUCCUCAACUUGGUCGUGCAAGAUGGGACAGAGGUCUUAGAUAAUUUGAUAAACAGCUUGAGAGAGAUGGUGAAGUACUUCAAGAGGUCACCUUCUCGUCUCCAUGCUUUCGUUGCCACUUGCAAAAGAUUGGGUGUCAAAGUUGGUAAUCAUUUACACCUGGAUUGUAAAACAAGGUGGAUUUCAACCUAUAAGAUGAUUAGCACUGUCCGUGAUAUAAGGAAGCCUUGA